rnacentral:rRNA from 1 species
AGCCUGAUCCMGCCAUGCCGCGUGAGUGAUGAAGGCCUUAGGGUCGUAAAGCUCUUUCSCCUGUGAAGAUAAUGACGGUAGCAGGUAAAGAAACCCCGGCUAACUCCGUGCCAGCAGCCGCGGUAAUACGGAGGGGGUUAGCGUUGUUCGGAAUUACUGGGCGUAAAGCGCACGUAGGCGGACUGGAAAGUUGGGGGUGAAAUCCCAGGGCUCAACCCUGGAACUGCCUCCAAAACUAUCAGUCUARAGUUCGAGAGAGGUGAGUGGAAUUCCGAGUGUAGAGGUGAAAUUCGUANAUAUUCGGAGGAACACCAGUGGCGAAGGCGGCUCACUGGCUCGAUACUGACGCUGAGGUGCGAAAGUGUGGGGAGCAAACAGGAUUANAUACCCUGGUAGUCCACACCGUAAACGAUGAAUGCCAGUCGUCGGGUAGCAUGCUAUUCGGUGACACACCUAACGGAUUAAGCAUUCCGCCUGGGGAGUACGGUCGCAAGAUUAAAACUCAAAUGAAUUGACGGA